rnacentral:rRNA from 1 species
CCUACGGGGUGCAGCAGUGGGGAAUUUUGGACAAUGGGCGCAAGCCUGAUCCAGCUAUUCCGCGUGUGGGAAGACGGCCUUCGGGUUGUAAACCACUUUUGUAGAGAACGAAAAGUCUGUUGAUAAUACCGAUAGAUGAUGACGGUACUCUAAGAAUAAGCACCGGCUAACUACGUGCCAGCAGCCGCGGUAAUACGUAGGGUGCGAGCGUUAAUCGGAAUUACUGGGCGUAAAGGGUGUGCAGGCGGUUUUGCAAGAUGGAUGUGAAAGCCCCGGGCUUAACCUGGGAAAGCCAUACAUGACUGCAAGACUAGAGUGCGUCAGAGGGGGGUGGAAUUCCAAGUGUAGCAGUGAAAUGCGUAGAUAUUUGGAAGAACACCGAUGGCGAAGGCAGCCCCCUGGGACGCAACUGACGCUCAUACACGAAAGCGUGGGGAGCAAACAGGAUUAGAUACCCCGGUAGUC